UGUCCAUCCUUUAUAUUGCGCAGUGUCAACAUUUGCCCUAUUAUCAAUCAGUAAUUUCACCACCUCAAGAUGUCCAUUUUUAGCAGCCAUAUGGGGAGGUGUAAUUUCUGUAUGGCCUUCCCUAAUGUUAUCAUUUGCUCCUUUAUCAAUCAGUAAUUUCACCACCUCAAGAUGUCCAUUUUCAGCAGCCAUAUGGAGAGGUGUGAUUUCUUCAUAGCCCAUAGUGUCAACAUUUGCUCCAUUAUCAAUCAGUAAUUUCACCACCUCAAGAUGUCCAUUUUCAGCAGCCAUAUGGAGAGGUGUACAUCCUUCAUUGUUCGUAGUGUCAACAUUUGCUCCAUUAUCAAUCAGAAAUUUCACAACCUCAAGAUGACCAUUAAGGGUUGCACAAUGGAGAGGUGUCCAUCCUUCAUCGUCCUCAGUGUCAAUAUUUGCAGUUUGAUCAAUUAGAAAUUUCACCAUUUCAGUAUAACCAUUGCCAGCGGCUGUAUGGAGA